CUUGACCUUUGACUACGAGACCCUCCCCUUUUUUUGCAAAGAUAUUCAUUAAUUAUUUCUUUAAUGAUCUUUACCGUAUGCAACAAUUUGGUUUGGAGUUGUCUCUCCUGUCUUGUUCUAUGGCUGAAGUUGCUUCUACUGAGCAGCUCCCAGUGAAACUAGGUCAGGAAUACCGAGUCAAACUGGGCAAGAGCUUCACCUUCCCCAGGGAGAACGCCUAUCACACCAUCAAAUGGACGGACGCAAGUGAUGAUGAAUGCGUACGCUGACCUUGUGUUCCAGUUUAGAAUGGCUGACGAGAAAACCAAGCCGCUUACAUUUAUUCAAGGACCAACACGGCUGUGCAGUACAUCAAAGCUGAACGGUUUUACGAUGGCUUCAAGGUACACACACUAUACACAGCAUCAGAACUCUAGUCACAGAGGCAACUCUAGUACUCAGUACCUGUACAGGAACCAACUACUGAAGCCACUGACUAACUACAAUGUAUGUGCAUCACGUACCCCCUCUCGUCCACCAGGGUUCAGUACCUAGCAGUUAGUGAACAUUGUAGCCAGCUCUGUGCUUGUCUAAGCUAUUACUGAACGCAGCUGUUACGGUUUAUUCGGUGGCCAAUUCACAGAAGCUCAGCAUCCAAAAUCCAUUUCACAUUCUCAAAGUAGGUAUAACAUGUUUGUGCCGACUGUUGCAGAUUUUUGAUGCUCUGCUCAACGGAGAUCUGAUACCGUAUCCUACGUACUUGUACAACAUGACUGGAUCCACCAACUACUACAACAUUCAGGACCUCGCUAGGUACACGUAUGUUGAUAGAGUAUGUCAGAAAGUGUUGGAUAGAAGUAUACAGUCCUGUUUGGAGUGGUAUAUACUCUUUUUACCUAUACGUAGUGUACUGAACAUUCUACUGUAUUAUUUAUCUUAUGUUGGUACAUACUUAACCAGUGUUUGGUUAAAGGGCUCUUGUUUGAGUAGCUAAUUGAAUUUGGGAAUCUGUACAAGUUAAGUUGUGUGUAUGGAUUGAAUUUGGGGAAGUCCUGGACUAUACAAUUAUCUCUAUUGUGGUCAUGCACUGUGUUAGAGGACAUUGAGAAGCUGUGUGCAUGGCAAAUAAUGGCAAGAAAGAUUAGCAGUAAUACAUGCUGCCCCUCCCCCAAGCCAUAGUCUAGCCUGCCACCCUGUUUGAACUGUACACUGGGGGAAACACUGACUUAAGUAUUGUAGGGUGUUGUUGAAAUGUCAUGCCCUGGGGUGAUUGGUUUCUCCCUGUGUGUAUACUUGUGUAAGGAAACCAAUCUAUAGCUGUCACCCCUUGCAAGGGCAGACCAACAGUGGCUAUAAUAAAGAGGUGGUCUGGUUCAAACACAUGCUAUGGAGACUCUGAAGCUUGUUAACCUGGCUGUAUUGGAAAGGGUGCCUGAUUAUAGGCUGACCACAAUAGACAAGUUUCACUGCAUUUAAUUUAGUUACAGUAUAAGAACUGUAGAGGGCAAUUGCUGACAUUUUGGUCAUGCAAAUUGAUUAUUUAAGACAGUUCUUCACAUGCAAUAUUUCUUAUUCGUCCAGCCUAUUUUAACUACUACGUUCCCUUCAUCAACACCACUGACAUCAGACGAGCCAUUCACGUCGGCAGUCUCAGCUAUGGCUAUCACGCUGAGGUGGACAGAUUAAAGAUAGGAGAUGAUGUUGCCGGGUGUGUGAGGACAGUGAACAAGUUUAUGCAGGUGGUCGUGAGAGGGGGUGGGCACAUUUUCCCGUUUGAUCAGCCGGAGAGAGCACUCAACCUCAUCCAGAACUUUGUGAACAUGCAAUAGCCUAUUAUAAUUAUGUUGUCUGGAAAUGAUCAUGCUUCAAGUAUAAGGAUAAAAAUGAAAUCUAUAAUUAUAGUCGUGUCAUUAAAUU